GCACCCUCUACAGCCCCCUGAGAGAAGCUUGCUUAAGUAGGCAGAGGAACAAAGGCUUCACGCUGGCUAUGCUUAUGGGAUAGAUUAAAAUUGCCAUGAUCUGAAGAGGGAGGAUUUAUUUGUGUCCUCCUCCUAUAUGAAAUGGCUGAACAGAAAAAA